UACGUAGGGCGCAAGCGUUGUCCGGAAUUAUUGGGCGUAAAGAGCUCGUAGGCGGUUUGUCGCGUCUGCUGUGAAAACCUAAGGCUCAACCUUGGGCUUGCAGUGGGUACGGGCAGACUAGAGUGCGGUAGGGGUGACUGGAAUUCCUGGUGUAGCGGUGAAAUGCGCAGAUAUCAGGAGGAACACCAACAGCGAAGGCAGCACUCUGGGCCGGUACUGACGCUGAGGAGCGAAAGCAUGGGGAGCGAACAGG
rnacentral:rRNA from 1 species